GUGAGGAAUAUUGGUCAAUGGGCGGGAGCCUGAACCAGCCAAGUCGCGUGAAGGAAGAAGGAUCUAUGGUUCGUAAACUUCUUUUGCAGGGGAAUAAAGUGCAGGACGUGUCCUGUUUUGUAUGUACCCUGAGAAUAAGGAUCGGCUAACUCCGUGCCAGCAGCCGCGGUAAUACGGAGGAUCCGAGCGUUAUCCGGAUUUAUUGGGUUUAAAGGGUGCGUAGGUGGUUUGAUAAGUCAGCGGUGAAAGUUUGCAGCUUAACUGUAAAAAUGCCGUUGAAGCUGUCGGACUUGAGUGUAAAUGAGGUAGGCGGAAUGCGUGGUGUAGCGGUGAAAUGCAUAGAUAUCACGCAGAACUCCGAUUGCGAAGGCAGCUUACUAAGCUACAACUGACACUGAAGCACGAAAGCGUGGGGAUCAAACAGGAUUAGAAACCCCGGUAGUCC
rnacentral:rRNA from 1 species